GGCUGGUCCAAAGGUAGUGAGUUAUCUCAAUUGACUACUGACAGUUACGGAUCUAACUCCUUGUUCCACUCUUUCCCCCCUUCUUAUACUAUACUUCACUUGGUCUUUA
ensembl:misc_RNA Y_RNA Y RNA